GAUGAACGCUGGCGGCGUGCCUAAUACAUGCAAGUCGAGCGAACAGACGAGGAGCUUGCUCCUCUGACGUUAGCGGCGGACGGGUGAGUAACACGUGGAUAACCUACCUAUAAGACUGGGAUAACUUCGGGAAACCGGAGCUAAUACCGGAUAAUAUAUUGAACCGCAUGGUUCAAUAGUGAAAGACGGUUUUGCUGUCACUUAUAGAUGGAUCCGCGCCGCAUUAGCUAGUUGGUAAGGUAACGGCUUACCAAGGCAACGAUGCGUAGCCGACCUGAGAGGGUGAUCGGCCACACUGGAACUGAGACACGGUCCAGACUCCUACGGGAGGCAGCAGUAGGGAAUCUUCCGCGAAGGGCGAAAGCCUGACGGAGCAACGCCGCGUGAGUGAUGAAGGUCUUCGGAUCGUAGAACUCUGUUAUUAGGGAAGAACAAAUGUGUAAGUAACUAUGCACGUCUUGACGGUACCUAAUCAGAAAGCCACGGCUAACUACGUG
rnacentral:rRNA from 1 species